rnacentral:lncRNA from 1 species
GUUGAGAUUUGUUUCCAAGAGAUUUCUGCAAGAGGAUCUUCACAUAAACCCACUUCUGCAGAGUUUUGAAAAACUUGUAAGGGGAAGCAAGAUGAAUACGCUUAAAAAAAAAAACUAAACUAAACUAAAACUCUGUCCUGUUUUUCUGAAUAAAUGAGAUAACCCGAGUGUUCCUUAAAAUCCCAGUGGGAGCUCAUAUAGGCCAGUAAUUUCAGGAUUUCGUUUUUAAGAGUUAUAUGGUGGCAUUAAAUCAUUUUAAAAUCAAUCAUCCAUGUCAACUUGUUUGUAUCUUUAUUGAAUUGAUAGGUGAUAAAUAAAGCUUGGUGUUAGUUACAGAAGUCAGAGGCUGCUGCUAGGAUCAGCUGAUACACUGCUAAUUGAAUUAUUCCCUUCAAUCACAGCCUGUUCUCAUAAAACAUUACAAUAGCUUUAUUUAUCCCUAUUUGGUCCAUUUAAACUUGUCUUCUCUCUCACUGAUCCAUGCUGCUGCUGGUUAUACCCUCUUGGGAGAAUCCAUAAAGCCAAAGCAAAAGCAGAGCCUUAAACUCAACCUUAUUUGAUGGCCUAACCCUAACCCUUUGUCCCAAACAUGCAGCAUUAUGAUUUAUACUGAUAAAGCAAACAGAACAUAAAGGUUAAUCUUCAUUUUACUGCCACAAAGAAAAAUAACGAUUUUUAGGAAAAGGUGGUUGCUGUACUCUGGGAGAGUUGGUUUCAAUCUGCAAAAACUCAGCUGAAGUGCUUCAUUAUAACUGCACAUCUUCAUAGCAGCUGCUUUGUCUGAUGUUUACUAAACCAGCCUCCAAUUUCACACGUCCGCACUCUUUAUCAAACCCAAAGACCUUUUAAAACUGCCACUCUGCUCGUUUUCAGUGGUGUUCUCAAUAAUCCAAACCGUAAAACCAACUGUACCCUGAUGAUACAACCUUCCAGUCAUGACUGAGCUCAGUUUGUGUUGUUACAAUACUCCUCUUUUUAGAUCUCACAGAAAUGAUUCUGUCACACUCUUUUUUUAAAAGAGUUCCCUGAGGAAAACCUGACAGCUCAUGAAUGGUCAGAGUGUCUCUGCUGGUUAAUAACUUGCUUUGAAAUUAUUUUACAAGAAAAAAAGGACCAUGUAAUUCAAAACAAGACAGCAAGCUCCUGUCUAAUGAAGGAAUGACCACUGUCUGAUGUGUCAAUCAUGAGCAUCCACUUCAGAAUUAAGGCGUGACAACCAGCCCCGGUCUCCCCUACACAGAGUGCUUUGAUUUCUACUCUCACUGAAAAUGGGCUGUGAAAUUAUCGCUGUUUGACUCUGACGCUGUCUGAAGAUAAAUCAGGAGUCUCGAUGACAAUGUCAGGACGUCUGUCUGCUGCUGGACCAACACUUCCGGCGAGAGGAGGCACGCGUCCAGCGGCAAAAUCAAGUUCUCAUUAAACCUCAACUAAAAACCAGGAAAUAUAGCUAUUGGAUUCUACAAAAUAAAAGCCCCAACCUCAGUGUGACCAGUCUAUCUCCCUCGUCAGCCUCCUCGUGGAUAAAAGGCUGAAAGAGUCCAAAUAUGCACGUAAUAGGCGUCAGGGGGAGCCCAGGAUGCAACUUUCGGCUUGUCAACCUCUCGUGAAAUUAGUGACCAAAAAGGUUAAUAGAGAUGCAAAACUGUCAAAAUUGCCCAAUGGUCUCACAAGUCAAAUCAUGUCAUCUGCUCUUAAAAGCAGAGGGACCUCUCAGUUCAAAUCCAACAUCCCUGGUGGUAACAUCUAUGUCAUAGGUAAAAAUCUACAAAUCUAUGAAGGCUCCAUUAAUGCUGAACAAUAUCUACAGGUUUAAGAGCAACAUCUGCUGACAUCCAGACAAAGACUUUUUUCAGGGAAGACCUUCAUAUUUAAGCAAGACAUUUACAAACCACAUUCUGACAACAGGGAUUACAACAGCAUGGCUUCAUUUUACAAUUUUUGUGAAUUCAAACGAGAAAUAUAAUAUCUCCAAAAAUUUCAGAAUCUGAAAAACCUUUUGUUUAAACUUACGAUGUAAACCUACUGCCUUUGUUCUAUUUUCAUUGGUUAUAUGUGGACAAAAAGCUCUGUUCAGGUUACAUAAAAUGCCGUCCUUUUAUAAUCUGUAUCGCUUUGACGCCUAAAAGUUGCUGUACGUGUUGUAAAAGUUUAUCUGAUCUAGUUUUAUUUUAUCUUUUGUGUCUUGUUAAACUGACACUGACGCCUCUGUUUUGCGCUUUUAUUUCGAAGAAAAUGACCGGAUGUUCUGUGUCUGGUCACAGUAGGUAGUUUGACACUGGUGCGUCCAGGCGGCGGAGGCACACACACAUAAGCUGUGCACACACAAAGAAAGGUAUCCAAUACUAAAUAUUUGCAUUACAGGUCAUACUAUUACAUCCUUAUACGUUAUAUUUGUCUUUUAGAUGAAGCUGGGACCAUGAACGUAUCCGUGUUGCCUUCAGGGGAGAAUUUAAGAGUCGGUCCAUCCUGUGACUGAGAUCAGCUGCAUGUCGACGGAUAUAGCUUUAAAAUUGCGAGGAAAACCUUUGAGCAAACGGCGUGUAGUGUUUGUUUGGACCCUAUCGGCUUUGGAGGGUUGGUUACUCUUUGACAUGGCUGUAAUUCCUCGCUGACUUCUUCAGGUGAAAGUUUCAUUCGCCUGAGAAAUUGUUGAGGCUCCCUGCCGACUGCGACAUCGCCCCGUCGGUGUAUUUCUGCUUUUCAAGUCCGACCUUUUCGCCUCGAUGCCGAGCAGAGGUCUAACUGUCUCGUGUUUCCCUCAGUGGUGUCAGGAGGCAGAACUAGGCCUUUAGCCGAACUAUUUCACCAAAUGAUUUCCUUUGUCGCAGCUCGGCAAGGCUAAAAAUAACGCCCGGCUGCAAACAUUAGCUGAGGUCAGAAUUAAGCGUUAUGAAAGAGGGAAAUGCUCCGCCGAUAAGACGGAUAAGUUCCCCAAAAACAUCAACACAUGAGGGAUUUAAACUGAUGGGUCCGGUUAACCCGGGUCAACAUCUUCUCCAGGCCUGGUUGUUAAAAUGACAGAAGCGUUUACGGAGUCCCUGACUGCAGGGGGAUCCGUGGUUACAGCAUAUAGCCGUAAACGUUCACAGAUAAGAGCGCGCAAGACUCCCUUUAAAUAUCCCAACAUUUCAACUUGAUCGCUA